UAAAAAGUAUGAACAUUUUAUACAAUAACAUUGAAAGGCAAUGACAUUUUGUGGUAGUUAUAAAUAUAAUUAGAGAAUAUUUUGAAGAUGAUCUAGGUUCUACAAGUACAUCUUUAUUUUAUUGAGGGCAAAAUGGGAAAAUUAAUCAAUUAGGGUUUCUCGCCCCUCUUAUAUAAAUAAAAAAUAGUGAGUACGGGGCUACAGAAUUCAAAAGAGGGAUCUGUAUGAGAGGCCUAAAUGCCUUUCCUGUCACUCUCAAUUCAUUUCACGAUCUGUAAUUCUAACAAACCCUAAAUUUUCGAAAAUAUUAAAGAAUGGAGGGUAGCGAAUUAUGGAGGUCUCAGAUUUGAUUGAAAAGGUUUGCUAACUUGAUUGAAGAAAAGAAGCUAUUAAGACGAGCAAUUACAUCCCCAGUGGAGUUCCAUAACUUACAGCAAUGGUUUGCAUCCAUCGUGAAAAAUUCUUCUUUGCAGAUAACAAGGAAUUCCACAUCCUUUAGCACUUCAUUGUGGACGAAGUAAUUGAUCAAGAGAUUGUUGAACAUUGAAGAAGGCAGUUAUUGCUGUUGGGCGAAUUCUUAGAGUGUAGAAUGAUAUCAAUUGUUGGGACAAUAAGUAUGGGUAAGACUACUUUAGCCUGGAGAAUUUAUACGAAUGUCACAAUUAGGUUUGAUUGUUAUGCAAUUAAUCUAUGUCUCGUGAGACAAUAGUAAAGGGAAUUUUUCUUGAAAUGGCAAAUAAACGAUCAAACCUAUUUAUUACGUUCCUGUAAAUUCUCCUGGCAAGAGUGGUCUUACCCAUAUUUCUAGUUCCAACAAAUGAUAUUAUUUUUCGCUGCGAGUUUUGGCUCAACAAGUUAUUGACAUUUAAACACUACUGUAAUUAUCGUUAUAAGUUGAAUAUAUUCCAUGGAGACGCUUUCUUCUUUUUAAACCGGCUCUUUCAAAA